rnacentral:rRNA from 1 species
UACGUAGGGGGCAAGCGUUGUCCGGAUUCAUUGGGCGUAAAGAGCUCGUAGGCGGCUUGGCACGUCGGGUGUGAAACCUCCAGGCUCAACCUGGAGACGCCACCCGAUACUGCCAUGGCUAGAGUCCGGUAGGGGACCACGGAAUUCCUGGUGUAGCGGUGAAAUGCGCAGAUAUCAGGAGGAACACCGGUGGCGAAGGCGGUGGUCUGGGCCGGAACUGACGCUGAGGAGCGAAAGCGUGGGGAGCGAACAGG